GGCUGAAUAUCAAUGGGGGAUUGUUUUUAUUUCAAGGAAAAUGGCAUGGAAAAUGAUGAAGUAAGGUGAAACGGUUAUGUAAAAAAAAAUUCGAUGCUAGUACACCAAAUGACCAAAUUUUUUCUAUAAGGAAUUGUGAGGGUUCUAAUGCUGAAUUUGGCUUUAUUUAAAUGUAUGUGGUAAAUUAAGGUAUUAGAGGAGAAAUGAAUUAAUUUGGAGGUGAUUUGGACACAAUCGCCGAUUAAUCGGGUGAUCGGUCGAAUUUAAUCGAUACCGUGAUUAAGCGGUAAUCGGACAUAUUUUUGCAUUUACAUAUCAAGCAUUAGUAGUUUAAAUUAAUUUAUAUCAAUUUAGGGACAAUAUAGUAAAUUCCUCGACUUUGUUAUUUGUCAAGGUGGUGAGACGUCC
rnacentral:lncRNA from 1 species